rnacentral:misc_RNA from 1 species
UAUAGAUCUGAUCUGUCUACCAUCCACAUGAGUAAAAUAUGUUUGUUUAAUUUUUGGUCAUUUAAUUUAGUGAAGUGAAUAAGAACCCGCAAGAAGCCUUAUAAAUAGUUAAACAGUUUAUAAUAGAUUGAAUAAAUUAAAUACAUUUUCUCAGCAGAAUGAUGUGUUUCAGUAAAAAUUGAUGAAAUUGACAUGGGUUUCUGUUACUCAUAAACGAAAGACUUAAGCGACGAACUAUAUCAGUCUUCAUGUCAAUGUCGAAUUUUCUCUUCAACAAACCUGUUUAAAUAGAAAUAUGAUUAAGCUGCUACUUAGGUGCACUUUCAUUUUGUGUUUAUGUGCAACAGUGAAGUCAGAAUAUGCAUUCAAUGAACCAAAAUAUAAGUGUCCAGCAAAGCCGAAACUUAUAUAUCCAUGUACCUGUUGGAAGAACUCCGAUGUUGGCAUCUAUGUGCGAUGUGAAAACACGAACUUAGCAACGCUUUCAAUUGCUCUUGAAAAUCUCGGAGCACUGGGAACGCCUGUAGAGCAGUUAGAAAUUUUAAAGGGUCAUUUUGUUCGUUUAUAUGGGCCAGUGUUCUCGACCGUUAAAACUAGAUUGCUUACAAUAUCUGAUACGCCUAUAGUUACCAUUGAGGAUUACCCAUUCUUCGGUGUAAAUAAAACUAUAGAGGAGCUGCGCAUACUUCACACCAAUCUAACAUCGUUUACUCCACUAUCGUUUGGGAUAUUAGGAAAUGCGAAAGAACUAAUAAUUGACGGUCAUUCGAUGCAAAGUAUCAGUAAGAAUGCUUUCGAUGGUCAAAACAUUGGAAAUAAGCUAGAAAUAUUAAGAAUUAUCAACGGACCUUUAAACGAGGUUCCAAUUGAAACUUUUCAGCCUCUUCGAAAACUUAGGGUUCUUGAUUUACAUGGCAACCAAUUAGAGAAUCUUAAAAAGAAUCAAUUUAAAAAUCUAAGAUCUGUGGAGGUCUUAGACAUUAGUUUCAAUAAUCUUAAAAAACUUGAAGCACAACACAUAUCGGACUUAACCAAGUUGGGUUGGUGCAAUGCAUCAAACAAUGCCUUAACGGAAAUUUCGAGAGGUACCUUUGCUCGCAACUCCGUUUUGAAAUUAUUGAAUUUGUCGCACAACAACAUCAGUCGCUUGGAUGCGAACAGUUUCCGAGGAAUGCGGUUUUUAAGACGUCUGUUUUUGAGCGAUAAUAAAAUAAAUGAUGUUGGACGAGGCACUUUCGGCUCCAUCGGGAAAAUCGGCACUAUUGAUUUGGCCAGAAAUUUUUUGAAAAAAGUUGAAUUUCAAAUGUUUUCCCAACUGAAUUACGUUGAGGUGAUUGAUUUGGCUGAAAAUAAUAUAACGAUCGUGGAAAAACACUCUUUCAAAGAUAUAUACCAAUCAACAAUAAAUAUUUCACAUAACGCCUUGGAAAAAAUAGAAUCACUAGCUUUUGAGAAUUGUGUAAACAUUACAAUUUUGGACUUGUCUUUUAAUAGGCUGACAAAUUUCUCACGAAAUGCAUUUGAUCUCACUACUUUUGCAACAGAGUUCCAAGUGAGCUAUAACUUUCUCACAAAUUUAGCACAGGUGCCUUUCCAAAAUAUGACCGGAAUCAAAGUUAUAAAUGCAUCACAUAAUUAUAUAGCAGAAGUGCCGAAAAACUGUUUUCCAAAGCUAUAUGAGCUGCACACUAUAGACAUUUCAUACAACAACAUUUCAUUGAUUGCUAACGGUGUCUUUCAGACACUUUUCUCACUACGCUUCCUAAAUCUUAGCCACAAUAGCCUCACGGAGAUUAAGUCUUCAGUUUUUGGAACGCUUCCCACAUUGCUGGACAUGAAUCUCAGUCACAAUAAAUUAAUUUCGAUUGUUCGUGGGGCACUGGCCAAGCUUACAAGUUUGCGUUUUUUGGACCUCAGCCAUAAUAAGCUCGAAAAGAUGUUUCAAAUUCCAAUUUCUCUGAAUGAGCUCAAUUUGGAAAGCAACCUCCUAACUGGCAUACCAGCAGGCACUUGGCCGGUUAUGAAUUCGUUGCUAUUUUUGAACUUAAAUGACAAUCAAAUCGGAGAUUCAUUAUCAGCCCAAAGUUUUACGGGCCUGCUUGUAUUACAAAGAUUACUCCUAAAUAGAAAUGGCAUAACCGUGCCACCACUUGAGUGUUUGGCAGGCAUGUCAACACUUCAGUAUUUACACUUAGAGCAAAACAACAUAACAACGUUGGAUAAGAGUGCUUUCGGAAAAUUGCCAGUCUUGUUUGAACUUAAUUUGCAAGCUAACGGGGUUCAAGAAAUCAGCAAGCGUUCCUUCGAAGGCCUGUUGCAAUUACUUACGCUGAAUCUGUCCUCCAAUGCCAUUAAAAGUAUCCCAACGGACGCAUUUAUUGGCUUACCUUCUCUGAGGAAGUUGGAUUUAUCGUUCAACCAAAUAUCAAAGCUGGAUAAUAAAACAAAUGGGGUACUUGACGAUUUGCUUAGUUUGGAAGAGUUGAAUUUGAGUCAUAACAAAAUAAGUUUUGUCACCAAAAAGACUUUUCCAUCCAAUCAAUAUAUACCUUAUAACUUGAAGCGUUUGGACCUAAGCUUCAAUCAAAUGCCUGUGUUGACAUACGAUAUCACUUUCGGCACUAAAAAAUUGCUGAGCUUAAAUAUAUCUAAUAAUAAUAUAAAUGAAAUCCGAAGAGGUGUUCUAGCAAAUUUUACCGAACUCCAAUCACUGGAUUUAUCCAAUAAUGAACUAAGUAAUUUGGCAUCCGAAGCACAUGUAUUCGACCUACCAAAGAAUCUUAUCAACAUCAAUUUGAGAAACAAUCAGAUAUAUAAAAUACCAAUUCCAAAUUUCAAAAAGGAUUUGCAAUUCGAAAACAUUGACCUGCGAAACAAUAAAUUGACGGAUUUUCCGCAACUAUUAGUGCUUAUGCUUCGUAACGGUACCAAUGUGUAUUUUGCCGGAAAUCCUUUGGAUUGCAGUUGCGCUGCUCGCCCACUUAAGCAUUUCAUGAUGGAAAAAUCAAAAUUAGAUUAUGACUUAGAAAAUAUUGAGUGUGGUACCCCGUCGUUUCAUAAAGACCAAAGGCUGGCGGAAGUGCCGGAUGAGAAUUUGCAAUGUUUAUUAGAGGAUAGAGAUCGGUACAAAGAUGUAGCUUUUAAAGAGCUUUCAGAUGUACAGUUCCGAGAUAUUAAAAUCGCUGAUUAUGGGAAUCUUACGGUACGCUUCUUUGUCACGGCUGCGAGAGAUAUAGCCGACUUUGUAAUUUAUAUUCGAAACAACGAAAACGAUGUUUUGUAUCAGGGAGAGGCAGCGUAUAAUGAGCGAACGCAUGAGAUACCCAUCGAAACUAUUCGGGACAAGAUUAAAGGACAAAAGGCGGAGAUAUGCAUAAUAUCGAAAAAUAGUAAUGGCAUAACGGGUCGUUGGUUUAGUGCACAGUGUACAAAUCUGCCCGAUUUAAAACAAAAACGUAAAGGCAUAUUCACGUUUACUGCAUUUAGUUCCGCCAAUUAUAAAACUCCGAAUACUAUGAUGUCGACAAUCAUAUCAUUAUUAAUAUUUUUAACAAAUACUCUGUGCUAACAGCCCAAAUUAGUGCAUCACUGCCAAACUAGUUUUAUUCAUACCAACAUAUACAGAAGCAUAUGAACUUUUAAUAAAAUCCAGUUUUCGGAGCCCCAAUUUUAUCAGACCAGGUUCUUAUACCGUGAUAUUAGGUUGCCACGAAGCUUUUUACCACCAAAAAGGAAACCUGGCGAUUUGAGCAAUGUUCGACUAUUUAUGCGAAAUAGUCCCUCAGUUUUUAAGUUAUCGAUCAGAAAUGCGUUCUUUUCUCACCAAGACGCUGCUCCUUUACCGGAACCGCCGAUAUAUGACAACUACAGCAUAUAUGUAGUAUAGCUACCAUAUGAACUGAACGAUCGGAUUCAAGUACUUCUUUAGAUAAACAUAUUAUACCAUACUGUAGAUCUUGAGCGAAUAGUUUUUCAUACCAAGCAAUUUAAUUGGUGGUGAUCUAAUUGAUUUUGUUUAAUAUAUCUAAGAUAAUCUACCUUAUUUUGGAUCAAGUAAAUAAAUUUGGAUUGUGUAUACAGCAAAACGUUGAAAUAUUUCUAUACUGAUCCUUUUUAUAUUCUAUAAAUAUUAUAUUUAUAGUAGCUUUUGUUUUUAUUGUUUUAAACUAUUGUACUAUUUUGUUAAUAUUUCUUAUUUUAGGAUCUGAUGUUAUUUCUUAUGGGCUUAUUUUGUUGAGAUUUUAGAUUUAUACUUUUAUAAUUAGUGCUAGUGAAUCUGUUUAUAAAAAUAAAAAUUAUAUAAAUUUA